rnacentral:rRNA from 1 species
GACGAACGCUGGCGGCGUGCUUAACACAUGCAAGUCGAACGAGAAUCCAGAGAUUGGAUCUUUCGGGAGAAGAUCUUUUGAGGAAAGUGGCGGACGGGUGAGUAACGCGUGAGCAACCUGCCUCAUACAGGGGGAUAGCCUCGGGAAACCGUGAUUAAUACCCCAUGAUACGACGAGAUUGCAUGAUUUGGUCGUCAAAGAUUCAUCGGUAUGAGAUGGGCUCGCGUCUGAUUAGCUAGUUGGUGGGGUAAAGGCCUACCAAGGCGACGAUCAGUAGCCGGCUUGAGAGAGUGGACGGCCACACUGGAACUGAGACACGGUCCAGACUCCUACGGGAGGCAGCAGUGGGAAUCUUGCACAAUGGAGGCAACUCUGAUGCAGCGACGCCGCGUGAGCGAAGAAGGUCUUCGGAUUGUAAAGCUCUGUCAUAAAGGAAGAUAAUGACAGUACUUUAGGAGGAAGCCCCGGCUAACUACGUGCCAGCCGCCGCAGUAAAAC